UGUGGGCUUUAUUCAUCCGAAAGUGGACUCGUUUCUGAUGUGUCUGCUCGGGGCUCUACAGUGGUUGAUGAGAUCAGCAAGACUGAAGAAGACCUUGAAUGUGAGGAUUCACUAACCUCAACCUCGUCUGAUUCUGUGUGUUUGCUUCCA